CGGACAGAAGCCCGCUGGAUUGGGUAUUUAGCUGUUAAUUAAAAUUUUACGGGAUCAAGGCCCGUCUGUCUAG
rnacentral:tRNA from 1 species